UAUGGCUCAGGAUGAACGCUAGCGACAGGCUUAACACAUGCAAGUCGAGGGGCAUCACGGGAGUAGCAAUACAACUGGUGGCGACCGGCGCACGGGUGAGUAACGCGUAUGCAACCUACCUAUCAGAGGGGAAUAACCCGGCGAAAGUCGGACUAAUACCGCAUAAAACAGGGGCACCGCAUGGUGAUAUUUGUUAAAGAAAUUCGCUGAUAGAUGGGCAUGCGUUCCAUUAGGUAGUUGGUGAGGUAACGGCUCACCAAGCCGACGAUGGAUAGGGGAACUGAGAGGUUGGUCCCCCACACUGGUACUGAGACACGGACCAGACUCCUACGGGAGGCAGCAGUGAGGAAUAUUGGUCAAUGGGCGGGAGCCUGAACCAGCCAAGUCGCGUGAAAGGAAGAAGGAUCUAUGGUUCGUAAACUUCUUUUGCAGGGGAAUAAAGUGCAGGACGUGUCCUGUUUUGUAUGUACCCUGAGAAUAAGGAUCGGCUAACUCCGUGCCAGCAGCCGC
rnacentral:rRNA from 1 species